AACGAACGCUGGCGGCGCGCUUAACACAUGCAAGUCGAACGAGAAGGCGUAGCAAUACGCUUGUACAGUGGCGAACGGGUGAGUAAUACGUGGGCGACCUACCCUCGAGUGGGGAAUAACCCGCCGAAAGGCGGGCUAAUGCCGCGUACGCUUCCAUCUUUAUGGAGGUGGAAGGAAAGCCGUGCCGUGGGCACGGCGCUCAAGGAUGGGCUCACGUCCUAUCAGCUUGUUGGAGGGUAACGGCCUACCAAGGCUCCGACGGGUAGCUGGUCUGAGAGGACGAUCAGCCACACUGGCACUGCGACACGGGCCAGACUCCUACGGGAGGCAGCAGUGAGGAAUAUUGGACAAUGGGGAAACCCUGAUCCAGCAAUGCCGCGUGAGUGAAGAAGGCCU
rnacentral:rRNA from 1 species